rnacentral:rRNA from 1 species
AAUAUUUGACAAUGGGGGCAACCCUGAUCCAGCCAUGCCGCGUGUGUGAAGAAGGUCUUCGGAUCGUAAAGCUCUGUCCCUGGGGAAGAAGGUCUUCGGACUUGACGGGACCUAAGGAGGAAGCACCGGCUAACUCCGGGCGCGCAGCCGCGGUAAUACGUAGGGGGCAAGCGUUGUCCGGAAUUAUUGGGCGUAAAGGGUGCGUAGGCGGCCUUUUAAGUCAGAUGUGAAAGCCCACGGCUUAACCGUGGGACUGCAUUUGAAACUGGAGGGCUUGAGUAUCGGAGAGGGUAGUGGAAUUCCCAGUGUAGCGGUGGAAUGCGUAGAUAUUGGGAGGAACACCAGUGGCGAAGGCGACUACCUGGACUGAUACUGACACUGAGGUGCGAAAGCGUGGGGAGCAAACA